CGUAUCAAGCGGUGGGACACCCGUCCAUUUCCCGGGCCCGCCAGCUAGGCUUGCGGCGUGCGUUCUCCACCGGAGGACGCAAAGCCGACAGCCGUCGCAACCCCGGGAGCACUUCCAUG
rnacentral:sRNA from 1 species